AUGCAGUCGAACGCUCCUACAUACGGAAGAGGCAGACGGGUGAUUCCGCGUGGGAGAUACCCUCCGGUUCGGAAUAGCUCAGGGAAACUUGGAUUAAUACCGGCUACGGCCGAGAGGCGAAAGAUUUAUCGCCUGAGGAUGAGCCCGCGUCGGAUUAGCUAGUUGGUGAGGUAAAGGCUCACCAAGGCGACGAUCCGUAGCUGGUCUGAGAGGAUGAUCAGCCACACUGGGACUGAGACACGGCCCAGACUCCUACGGGAGGCAGCAGUGGG
rnacentral:rRNA from 1 species